ACUCUUGCCUAAACUCUAAGUUGUUGUGCAUGAUCCCAUCCUCUAUCAGUCUGAUUCUGAUUUUUACUUGUCUGGAGACAGACACUUUAAAAUUAAAAUCCACACAUUUAAAAAAAUUUCGUUAAAUAUGAAUGACAACUGGCACAAAUCA